CAGAAUGCAGGCUCAAGGUGCAUGUAUGGCUUUGGUUUGACUCCCAUGUCCCUGUUAUAGUGGGAGACAUGCUACAGAAAACCAAAACACUCUGUUUAUGAUGAUGUCAUCCACCAACUACUUGAAUCAAAUUCACCCACACCUCAGUAUCAACAAUUGUGCAACCACCACGAAGGAGGUAGAUGUCCCAAUAAACGUAUGCUGCAGCUGAGGUUGGAGGCGGUCCCUGAAUUUCUCUUUUAACUUCAAGCAAGCCAGACAAUGAGGCAUGGCAAAUGUAAUAAGAGUAAGAGAGAAAAAAAACUGAUGAACAAGCAUUGAAGCUGGAGAGGUGAAAUGUUGGAAUAAGCCCUCACCCACCACAAGGUCCAAUGAUUGCAUGGCUAUAGAAGGGUGGGGUGCUAACAACCAUUGCUUAUACCAUGGGUCACUGCUACAUGCAGCAAAUCCAUGCAUGCAUAACAAACAUUAACUAGUCCUCCUUUUGGGUGGCAGGUUCAGAAAAAUCCCUGCUCUCAUUCAAACCAAAGUUGAAUCUUACCCUCAUCAGCAGUGGACCAUUGCCUGGCCUUUAACUUCUGAAACACCUUGGACUGAAUCCUUAGAGUACAGACCAUGGACCAAAUGCUCAUCUUUGCUACGCUGGUGGGAUAAUGACAUUGAAUCAUUGUACCAUGGGAUAAUGUGUCCCACCUACUGUUCUUUCAGUUCCCUGACUAAACUGCAAGUUGAAAGCCUUCUCGUGUUUGCUAGAGAGGAGCCAAAGCUAGAAUCUUCCUUUUAAAACCCCCCAAACUUUUUUUGGUUUGCAUAAAAAGGAGCCUGGAUCUGAACCACUGAGAUCUGAGGGGUUAUUGAGAGGAACCCUAAAGCCUUGUAAAUCAAACUUCAGACUCACCCUGCCCAGCCCAUUUCUAUUUGCUUAUUUAAACCAAAAUUACAGCCACAGAGGGGGACUCAGUUACAACACAGAAGAACCCCAGCCUGAUUAAAACACAGAUGCAUUGUGUAGGAGAGAU